CAGCCGCCGCGGUAAUACGUAGGGUGCGAGCGUUAAUCGGAAUUACUGGGCGUAAAGCGUGCGCAGGCGGUUCGUUAAGACAGAUGUGAAAUCCCCGGGCUUAACCUGGGAACUGCAUUUGUGACUGCAUGGCUAGAGUACGGUAGAGGGGGAUGGAAUUCCGCGUGUAGCAGUGAAAUGCGUAGAUAUGCGGAGGAACACCGAUGGCGAAGGCAAUCCCCUGGACCUGUACUGACGCUCAUGCACGAAAGCGUGGGGAGCAAACAGGAUUAGAUACCCGGGUAGUCCCUGUCUCUUAUAC
rnacentral:rRNA from 1 species